UUUCUUUCUUUGUUUUUCUCUCUCUCCUAUUUGCUUUUUUUUUUAUUGUAAAUUGUAUCAAUUUAUUUUUAAAAUUUAAGAGAGUCAUGAAUAAUAUCAUUUACACUCUUUAAACUGUACUACUUUCCUAAAUGUUUUCUAUACUAUUUUAUUUUAUUUUAUUUUAUUUUUGUUAAAUUCUAGAGACAAAAAUAUUCUAAAAGAGCAGCUGAAGACCGAAUUCCAAUUUUUUUGGGUUUUUGUCGUGCGGUCAAAUGUUACAAUAUAUCAGCAAAUGAAUAAUAUAUGCCCACAUGUUUCACACUGGACCCACUUCUUUUAAGGACAAUAUUUUUAAUUUAAUGUAAGAAGUAGAAGAGCCGUUAGGUAUGAAAACAUCAAUUACUGUUGUCUUCUCUCAACUUUCCAGAUAACGUGGACCGAAUCUUAACCACAACUUGGGUAAUGAAAAACAAAUAAAAAAAAAUCUAAUUCAUACCUUUAUGUCCCAAGUUUCGAAAAUUGGCUAUAGUUAUCCACAAUCGAGUUUCUAACAUAUUCAUUUUCUAUUCAUUAAAUUUAAAAAAUCAAUUAUACAAGUAUGAUUUAUUAUUCAAUAUAAAAUAAAAAAGUAAUAUAUAUAUAUAUAUACACACACGUGUGUGUGUUUUUUUUUUUUUUGAGAAAAAGAGUUAUGUUAAUAUUAAAGUAUGCAUAUAUAUUAUUAGAUAGAUGACUCGUGUUAUGCUACUUGGCUUACUUGAUUUUUUUUUAAUAUAAAAAACAUGCUAAGACAAUGCAAGUGUUUAAAAAAAAACAAAAAAAAGACAGUUUAACAAGCCUGGCUAAUUUAAUAACAUGAUUUUUUUUAAAAAAAAAUACAAUGAUUGUAAAUAAGGCAAAGAAUAUGACAAUAAUAAAAGGUAAAAAAAACUCUAAUCGAGCCCAUCUUGAUUAGUAUGUCAAAUAUACAACUUAGUUAUGACACCAAGAUAAUCAUGCCAAGAGUAAAUUGAAUAAAAUCAUGAAUGUCAAUUAUAAAACAACUCAAUGUUAAAGAGUGAUAUUUUUUUAAAAAAUAAACAAUGAAAAAAAAAACUUAAUUUAAACAAGGUUAAUCCAAUAACACCAUGAUCUUAGGUAUAAAAUUGAGAUCACCGCAUAAAAAAAAGUGGAAAAAAAAGUAUCAACACUAAUUCCCGAACAAAUCCAAAAAACGUUUGCGGAAAAUUCAUUCAUAAUAUUUAUAUUUUAAACAAUAAAAAAAUAAGUGAAAAAAAAAUAUUAAUUUCUAAACAAUUAUAUAUAAUAUAUACGGAGUUGGGUUUAAAUGGAUUUCAUUCAUACUAUUUAUAUUUUAUCAAUUAUCUAUCAAAUAAGGAAAGUAUUCAAAACAAAUCCAUGCAUUCGGGCAACAUCUAUCGAGUUCAAGCAAACUUGCUAUCCCUAAAAGUCACCAUACAUGUAUGACUAUAGAUUCAAAACGUAAGAGUUGAUAUCCCAAAUUAUGCUGAGAUAAAAAAAAAGGUGAUUUAACUAAUUUUUAAAACUUGAGGGAUGACAUAAUGAAUUUCUACCUAUUAAAAAAAUAUAGAGUAGAAAGUUAAGGUUUCAUAUUCUGAAUAUUAAUAUUAAUUAAAUAUUACUAUUAUUAUAUUACUAUAAUUUAUAUUAUUAUAUUAAAUUAAACUUGUAUUAAAUGCUAGCUAAUAUUCAGAACUAAUAAAAUAAGCCGACAUGAGAGAAAGAGAGAAUCAUUCCUUACUUGAGCUUGCAAGACUUUUUAGAGCUCCUUUUCAUCUCAUCUCCAGAGUUUAACUAUGAUGCACUCGAACUGUUCAAAGCUCUCUAGCUAGCUAGUUUCCAUAUUCGGUGGGUUUCACGGUAAAUAAUAUAUGCUACCAUUUCAAGGUAAAUAAUAUAUGCUACCAUAGCUAAACCUUAAAGCCACACCAAAAUAUUUCACCAUCUCUCUUCUUAGUUAAUAUCCUCCCUUCUCUGUUUUCUUCUCUUGCAUGUGCGCUUCACAACUAGUUCUUCUACUUUAAUAUAUUUUCUUGUUAAUCAUAUUUCUGUUCUUGAUGUUCGUUGAUAUAUAUGUUUGCUGUCUUACAUCAUUGGCAGGUGCUUGUUAUAUUGAAGAAACUAAAUGGUGGUUGGACUUGGAGAAUCAUUUUUAUAUUUUUAAUUUAAUUUGCAAGCUUGGUUAGAUGCCAUGGCCAUGUCUUUGUUGAAUAUUUCAGGUGGUAGGGCUAGUAUGAAAAGAAUGUUGUUGUUGAUGUUGAUUGCUGGUAUUUGUGUGCCCAUUGAAGUUGUUUUUGGUCAGGCAGCUGCAAAGGGAAAUGGAACUGCUGUUUCUUCUUCCUCUUCUUCAAGGCCGAGUGUUGCAAAUAUAGGAACUUUAUAUACUUAUGAUUCAGUGAUAGGGAAAGCAGCUGGGCCAGCUAUUGCAGCUGCUGUUGAUGAUGUCAAUUCUGAUCCAACCAUUCUUCCUGGGACUAGAUUGAACCUUAUUUCUCACAACACUAAUUGCAGUGGAUUUCUUGCAACUGUUGAAGGUAUUUCUUUCACAAAAUCAUUUUCAAGAUAUUCUUUUUCCUGUCUUUGAAUCUGGGAUUGCUUUGCCUUUUCUUCCCUUCAAAUUCUGGCACUCUUGUUGUAAUUGCGGUCUCUGUUUCCAUUGCCUGCUAUGGUUUAGUUCUCAAGCUCCAUUUUUCCUUACUAGCUUUGCAGUUACAAUUUCCAUUGACAAAAUAUGAUUAACACUGUCUCUAGCUCUAAAGAUGCAGCUUUGAACUAUAUUGGUGUAGCUGUAUGAUUGUCUUGGGUACAGUAGUGCUAGCAUUUAUUAUCAAUGCCUGCAAAAAUCUCCCUUUAUUUUUUUCAGAACUUUGAAAGCCAUGGAAAUGUUGUAAUUUCAAAAUGCGAAACAAAUUUGAAGCUCAUGUUUGGUGGUUGUAGUUAUAGGCAAAUUUUGGAGUGAGGACAUAAUUCAAAUCAUAUCUAGCUUGAAUUUUGUUGAGAUGUUCAUGCCAACUAACUGGUAAGUGUGACUAUUAGAUCCUGUUUAAUUAGGAGUCUCGAACAAGAAAAGAACACACUAGGAUCAUGUGCAUAACAUCCUUCCCUUUGCAACACAGAGAACAUAUUGAUGAAGAUUUUGAUGGAAGUUUCCUUGCCCAUGAUGCAGUUUUGCAGCUGAUGGUAAAUGACGUUGUUGCUGUAAUUGGCCCCCAAUCUUCUGGAGUAGCCCAUAUCAUAUCUCAUGUUGUCAACGAGCUUCAUGUUACACUUUUGUCAUUUGCAGCAACAGAUCCCACCCUUUCUGCAUUACAGUACCCAUAUUUCCUCCGCACCACACAGAAUGACUAUUUCCAGAUGUAUGCAAUAGCUGAUAUCGUUACGUAUUUUGGGUGGCGAGAGGUGAUUGCCAUUUUUGUGGAUGAUGAUUAUGGAAGAAGUGGGAUAUCUAUACUGGGUGAUGCCCUGGCAAUGAAGCGUGCCAAGAUCUCUUACAAGGCUGCCCUCGCCCCAAGAGCUUCUAGAAGUCAAAUCUCCGACUUGUUACUUAAAGUUAACCAGAUGGAAUCUCGGGUUUAUGUUGUACAUGUAAAUCCUGAUUCUGGUUUGUCACUUUUUUCUACUGCUAAAAGCCUUCAUAUGAUGACCAAAGGCUAUGUUUGGAUUGCUACAGAUUGGCUACCUUCGGUUUUAGAUGCAUUAGAGCCAGAUGACACUGACACAAUGAAUCUUUUGCAAGGGGUUAUUGCUCUUCGCCAUCACACUCAAGAUACUGAUCUCAAGAAAAAAUUUAUGUCCAAGUGGAGCAGCCUAAACCACAAGAAUAGCAUUGGUGCUUCUGGUUUCAAUUCUUAUGCACUCUAUGCCUAUGAUACAGUAUGGUUAGCUGCCCGAGCUCUUGAUGUUUUUCUCAAUGAAGGUAGAAAUCUAUCAUACUCAAGUGAUCCAAAGUUGAACGACACAAAUGGAAGCGCACUGAACUUAUCAUCAAUGCGUAUUUUUGAUGGAGGCCAAGAGUUUCUACAGACACUUCUUAGAAUGAACUUCACUGGUCUAAGCGGUCAAAUUCAAUUUGACAUGGAUAAGAACUUAGUUCAUCCAGCCUAUGAUGUUCUUAACAUUGGUGGGACAGGGUCCAGAAGGAUUGGUUAUUGGUCAGAUUACUCUGGUCUCUCAACUGUUACUCCAGAGGUCUUAUAUACAAAGCCUAAAAAUACUUCUGCCAGUAGUCAACAUCUUUACAGUGCAAUAUGGCCUGGUGAAACUUCGCUUGUACCUCGAGGAUGGGUAUUCCCUGAAAAUGGGAAGCCACUGCGCAUUGCAGUGCCCAAUCGUAUAAGUUAUGUACAAUUUGUCUCUAAAGACAGGAAUCCCCCAGGGGUUAGGGGAUACUGCAUUGACGUCUUCGAAGCUGCAAUAAACUUGCUGCCAUAUCCUGUCCCGCACAUGUAUGUGUUACACGGAAAUGGCAAGAGAAAUCCAGUCUACAAUGAGAUUGUCCAAGCGGUUGCGGAAGAUGUGAGUAUCUGGCUAUAAUUUGUAACUUAGUUUUUUCAUUAUUUUGGAGCUAUACCUUUGAUGAUUACAUUAUAGUAGUUUUUUUUGUUCUCUUCCUCUUCAGCGUUAUGAUGCAGCUGUUGGAGAUGUUACAAUAGUCACAAAUAGGACAAAGAUUGUCGAUUUUACACAGCCUUUUAUGGAAUCAGGGCUGGUUGUAGUAGCUCCGGUCAAGGAGGUGCAGUCUAGCCCCUGGGCUUUCCUUAAGCCAUUUACUUUUCAAAUGUGGCUUGUUACAGGUGCCUUCUUUCUUCUCGUGGGAGCUGUAGUCUGGAUUCUUGAACACCGAAUCAAUCAUGAAUUCAGGGGUUCACCAAGGCAACAACUUAUGACAAUAUUCUGGUUAGCAUGCUUUGAAGUCGUUGAUAUUUGAUAGGCCCUGGUUUUGUUAGAGUUGCACUUCUUUUUAGUCGUAAUUUCAGAGCAAUUAGGCAACGUCCCUCACUGCUGCACAGGUGCCUUGAAGUGUCCUGGUGAUCCCGCAGAACUAAUACAUGAAGUAGAAGUACAUGCAAUGAAAAUCACUAUUUUAGUAUGCACAUAGCAUGAAAGUAGCUGAGAGAUCAUGAUGUCGGUUCGUUUUAGUUCAAAGAAAGUAGUCUAACAGAUCAUGAUAGAAUGUGGAACAUGCUAGUAAUCAACGAUAAGUAAAUAUAUUUAGGCAGUAGUAGGCACAAUGUAGUCAGCCGGUUUAAAGCCUUAGUUUUAAGCAUUCUUCUGCCAAGGAGGUACAUUUAUGUUAUGUGCUUUGCUUCACAAAUAUUAGAAUGCUUCUAAUAGACAUAUGUGUUGAUCUUGCAGGUUUAGUUUCUCAACAAUGUUUUUUUCACACAGUAAGUGAGCUAUGCCUAUCAAUUUAUUCUCUCUUUACUUGGUCCUUCACAUAAGCUUUCUAGUGGAAACUCCUAACAAUCUCAGCUGCUUGGACGUGGUGUAGGAGAGAACACUCUGAGCACCUUGGGACGAUUUGUGCUGAUCAUUUGGCUAUUUGUAGUGUUGAUUAUCAAUUCAAGCUACACAGCAAGUUUGACAUCCAUCCUCACAGUGCAGCAAUUAACAUCACGGAUUGAAGGGAUUGACAGCUUGGCCGCGGGUAAUGAACCAAUUGGAGUUCAAGAUGGGUCAUUUGCAAGGAACUACCUGAUCGACGAGCUCAACAUCGCAGAAUCUAGACUUGUAAUAUUGAAAAGCCAGGAGGAAUACAGUACUUUCCUUCAACUUGGACCAAAUCGUGGUGGUGUGGCUGCCAUUGUUGACGAGCUUCCUUACAUUGAGCUCUUCUUGUCUGCCUCCAAUUGUGCAUUUAAAAUUGUGGGGCAAGAAUUCACAAAAAGUGGAUGGGGAUUUGUAAGUAUCUACGUUAUUUGUCAGUCUAAGCUUGAAAACAUCAUUAGUGCAACUAAUCUUGUACCUAGGAUUAGCUAGAUUUCUAUAAAUGAUUUCUUUCGCAUGGAUGCUGCAUCCUUGUUUUCAGCUUAUUUGGGCAAAAUAAUAGGCAUUUGAUAUUUUUCCUUCAUUUUGUGUUCUUUCUCCAAUGGAUGGGCGACCAUAAAGGGGGCAACCUCUCACUUUCUUGAUCUCUCCCUCUCUUAAGUUAGAACCAGUACUUAGUAAGUUAACACAGAAUCUCCCUGUUACAAAGGGAGAGACUAGGACCAAAGGACUGGUGGUAUGCUUUCUAUAGAAUUUGAAAUGCUUGCAGUCAAAGUCCAGAAUAGGAUAUGAAAUGUCUGUAGGGAACUCCAGAAAUUUUCUUACAAUCAGAUUUUCUUGUUACAGGCGUUUCAAAGGGACUCUCCUCUAGCAGUUGACUUGUCAACUGCCAUUCUUCAACUUUCAGAAAAUGGUGAUCUCCAAAAAAUCCACAACAAAUGGCUGACACAUGCAGAUUGCUCGGCGCAAGGCAAUGAAAUUGAUGAAAAUCAUCUCUCCCUGAAGAGUUUCUGGGGUCUGUUUCUUAUCUGCGGCAUUGCGUGCUCCAUUUCCCUUGUCGUGUUCUUCUGUAAUAUCAUUUGUCAGUACCGUAGAUUUACUCCAGAAGAUGGUGAGGAGGCAGAGGUGGAUGAGAUUCAGCCACCAAGGCCUCAACGCUCCGUUUGCUCAACUAGCCUCAAGAAAUUGAUCGGUUUUAUAGACAGGAAAGAGGAAGCGAUUAAUGAGAUGAUUAAACCAAAGAGUACUGACAUCAAACGACAAGGUAGCCCGAGCUCCGAUGGGCACACCAUUUCAUCAGCUUAAGGAAAAGAUUUCCCUGCUGAAGUUUCUUAAUACUCCCUCCUCAUGACAAUAAAAUCAAUUUCAGAUUCCCCACCUCCUCUCCUUUGAUUCAAAAAUGUUAGGCAGCUAGAGCCAAAAUAGAAAAAUAUCAAUUACUGAUUAGAGGUAGAUCUUACUGUAACAUACUCUAUAUAUAUUAUUAGAUUAUUAGUGAAAGUAAUGUAUUGAAUUAUUUAGCUUUUCAUGUAAAUCAAGAGAAUACUAAAUUAGUUCUCUUUUUAGAGUUUUCUUUAGUUCUUAUGAUUGUAUUUAUUUUCUAGCCCUAAAUAACUCUUGGUUUCACAAGUAUUUAGAGAAUUUAAACAUUUUAAAAAUUUCAAAAACAUAAUCAUAUUUUUCACUUAUAUAGAUGAUUUAUCAUUAAAAGUAUUAUAUUAUAUUCUAGUUCAUAAGUCAAGAUAUAAAAAUAAUUAAGAGUACAUCUCACCAUUUUUAUGUUAGUUAAUUUUGUCAUGUUAGUUAAUUUUUAUGUUAUAGUUAGGACCCUUUUUAUUAUAGAAGUAUCAUGAAAUUAUUAUUUUUUAGUGUUAUUAAAAAUGCAACAAGACUUGAUUUUUUAUUUAAACCUAGACCUUAAGAUCUUUAUUAAAAUAGAUAAGAUUACCAUCAUAAUAUGCUUUCAUCUUUAAAAGCUUCAAACCCAUUCCUUUUGAUAAACCAUAUAUACAUAAGCUCUCUCAUUAAGUCUUUUAUAUGAUGUUCCACAAUAUUUUCCUUCGACUUUACGUAAUCAAUAAAAAUAACAUCAUUUGAGAUCAAAUGUUUAAUAGUAUUUUGUUUAUGAUGUAUAUAUCUAGAUUUAUUACUAUACAUACUAUUUUGUGUCAUUAUAGUUGCUAACUAUUUGUCACAUGAAUAUAGAUUGUAGACACUAGCAUUAGAAAACAUGAAAUAUCAUUUAAGAAAUUCAUAAGUCAUAUGGGUUUCUUUCUAGCUUUAUCAAGAGCUGUAAAAUCUAAUUCCAUUAUAAAUCUUGCAAUGCACAUUUUCUUAGAAAAUUUCCAACACACAUCUACUCCAUCGAGUACGAAAACAUACCCACUAGUGAUUUUUAAAUCCUUGGUAUAAUAUAUUCAAUUCGCGUUACAUUACCCUUCUAAUACCAUUAAGUACCCAAUAUAAUACAAUCCAUAGUCCAAGGUAUACCUCAAAUAUUUAAAUAUCUUAUUUUAUUUCUUUUUAAUAAUUCAUACUAAGAUUAUUGGUAAAUUUACUCAAUUUGCUAUUUAAGUAUGUAAUAUUUGGUCUUGUAUAGUUCAUAAAAUACAUCAAACUCCUAAUUUCACAGACUUUACUCCUAAGGCUACUAUCGUGUGAAUGUGAAUUGGUUUCAAUAUUAAAUUCGCUUGAUGAUAAGAAAUUGAUUAUAGAGCUUUGUCUAAUUAAUUUACUCAUAAUAUCCUCGAUUUCUCUUAGCUUUAAGGGAUAUCAAAUUUAUUUGCUUGACGUGAAAGAAUAUUUAUUUUACUUUGAUGACCAAUACACUUAUAGGAAUGGAUGUGUGGACCCUUGAACUAAGUUAACGACAUAUCAAUUUAUUAUUUUUAUUUUCAGAAUUUUGUUUCUUUAAUUUUUUAUUCAAAUUUUUUAUUGUUUCUUUAAUUUUUUAUUCAAAUUUUUUAUUUUAGUAUUUUAUAGGAAAAUUAAAUGGAAUCCCCCUUGGGGUCAACAUAGUUUUCACAAUCAUACUAUGAAUUUAUUUUGUUUGUGAUAGUAAAGUCAGAAUUAUAUUUUGAAAUUUCCGACGACCGACCAAAAACUCUAAAAUGACUAACGUGUGAGAUAGUCGACAGAUGAACGAAUAUUGUUGUGAAAAGGUUUUUGAAACCUUGAUACCUUAUUCAACAAAUUUAUUAUGCCAAGUAAUGGAAAAUAUGUUAAAUGUAGUAUGUUCUUAUUUUCAUAUUAAUAUGCAUGGAACUAGUUACCUAAUAAUGGGGCCAGUGCCCGACAAUGGGUGGUGAAACUAGUUAUCCUGGUUAAUGCGACUAGUGCCCUGGUUAAUGGGCUAUAGAAGAAACUAGUUAUCCUGGUUAAUAGGACUAGUGCCCUGGUUAAUAGGCAAUAAAAAAAACUAGUUACCUUAAUUAAUGAGAUUAGUGCCAUAGUAAAUGGACAAUUAGAGAGACAAGUUAAUUUAGUAAUGAAACAAAUGCCUGGUUUGGAUUAGAGAGGACAUUGGUAUGUCGUUAAUUUGUGCUAAUUAUACUGAUUUGAAGGUUAAGGAUAAAAUAAGAAAUUAAUUGUUUCGUAAUUGAUGUGGUAAAUAUAUAGAAGAGAUAAUAGCAAAUAAUCAUUAUGUAUAAAACUGAUUAUGUUGGAUAUUAAAUAAAUUUUCAAAUACCUUGCAACAUUGUGCCGAGUAGUAGAUCAUGUAUUUGGUAUUAAUAAUAACAUGUAAUGAAGCAAGGUGUAUAUGAGUUUGAAUGUGUUAACAUGUUAAUGAUUAGGUAUUCAAUUAGCCCUGCCAAUAAAGUUUCAUGAAAAAGAAAGAUAAUUUGAGCACGGCUUGCAAGUAUAAAAGUAACGGAAAGUUAUGUGAUAAAUUAUAAUAAAUAGAAUUGGACAUGAAAUAAGUGGAAUGAAUAAUGAAUUGAGGAAAUUUCACAAUAUAACAAGGAUGUUAUAUGAACUGAAGUACAAUGUAUCAUAGAUGAAAUAAAUUCUAGGGAAGUAAAAAGGCGGCAUGAAUUAAAGAUGUUGUGAAUUAAAUAAUGAUGUAAAUUAGACAUGCUUAUGUAAUGACUUACAAUAUGUAUUAAAGAUAGUUGGGAGAGGAAAAUAUCAUAUGAAUUAUAUGUGUUAAAAACAAAUUAUGAGGUAAAUUCCAUGAGUUGUUAAAUAAUAAUAUUAAUAUAAAUUGAAUAUAUUCAUGAAGAGGAAAUAAUUAUGAAAUAACCUCGAUAUGAAAAGGGAUACUGUAUGAAAGUGGUUGGAGAAGACUAGUAAAUUUUAAAGUUGUAAGGAAUAUAACGUAUAAUGAUGAGUUAAACUAGAUUACAAAAGAAACAAUUAUCAUGAUGCAAGGAUGAUAAUGUGAUGAAUAAAAUGAUGAGAAGAACAUUUAUUGGGGAAUAAUAAAAAAAUAAAAGAUGUUGGAAAUUAUAUUAGAUCAACAUUCUUAAAAAAAAAUAUAUGAAAUUGGUUCUAAUCAUAUAAUUGUUAAAUGUUAAUAACUCGGAAGACACAAAUAUUUAAUAUGAUAUAUUUUAUAAUUUAUGUAUGUCACAGGUAAAUUCCAUGAGGACAUCCAUUUUGUAGGGUCAUUAAGCUACCCAAUAUUAUACAAAAAAAAUAUUUGUAUUUUAAGAAAAGAAAAACUUAUAAAUAGUUAACAUGGAUGUAAUUCUUAAUAAGAAUUUUAAUAAAUUGUGUACAUUUAUAAAAAAAAUUGGAAGGUUAUUGGGUCUUUCCUUCCACACACACACCAUGUUUUUGAUGGGUUCAAGCCUUAUAAGGUUGUUAAAAUACUUGGUUGUUACAUUUUCCCACCGUCUAGUUCACAUAAAUUUUAAAUCACCAAUAUUCGAGUGAAUUAAAUCUAGAAAUUCACCGCUUCUUUUAAUUAUUUUUUUAAAAAAAUCUUUGUGAAUUUUGAUUCUACAUAAACUUUAUACUUAUAUUUUUGUUUCAAAAACUAGUUGGUAAUAGCUCAAGAUUAAUUAAUAUUUGUAUCAAAUCAUAAUUUACAUGUCCUAAUUUAUCAUGUCACGUAUCAUAAUACUCAACCAAAUAAGAAGAAGAAACAUUAUUUUUGUUAUUAUUCUCAUCCUUGAUUACCAUGAUCAUUAUAUUCAUUUUAAAAAGACCAUCACUUAUAUACCUUCUACCUAUAAAUAUCAUACUUUUAGUAAGUAAGAAUAUAUCACUUUAAAAAACUAUCUUGAAACCAUAGUUUUGAAACCCGACCCGGUCAUCAACCCGGUCAAGUAAUCGGGUCACGGGUCAGAUGGGUUGACUUGAGUUGACCCGGGUCAACCCAAAAAUAAACACCUAUAAAAAAACAUAAACCAAAUUUAAAUUAUAAACCAAAUAAAUAGAAUCUUGGGCAUCAGAACAAGCAUGAAAGGCAGAUGAGUUCUACUAGUUUUAGGGAGAGAUUCCUGGAUUCUUUAAAUGCAAGGAAUGGAGGAUUCAAUAAAAAUGAACACAUUACUCAGGUACCAAUCUUAAUUUUCUGGAACUUGUGGGUAGAAUUUAUUUCUAAGCAACCAAAUCUUUGCAUUUUUGUUGGUGAUGCAGGUCAAUGAGAAGGCCUUGGAAGGACAUUAUGAACUUGAGGAAGAAGAGAACCCUCAAGUUUUGCUCUACAAGAAUUUGUGGCUCGAGGCUGAAGCAGCUCUUUGUUCCAUGAAGUAUAAAGCUUCUGUUCUGGGUAUGAAAACUGAGAUGGCAAAGAUAAAGAUGACAAUAAGAUAAAAGAUAUUGUAAUUACCUGAGCUCUCCCUUAAAGGCUUUCGAUGCAACCUUCUGUUCUUCCUGCCCUCUGCUGUGAGGUUGGUGAUUUUAUUGUAAAGUUCUUGCGUUGGGAACCCACCUUGCAUCCAGAUGUAAUAAGCAUCAAAUCAGACGUCCUCAGAUGCUCCUCAGCUGGGUUUCAAAGAAUUAAGUUAAUUAGGUUUGCAAAUUGCUUCGUUCUUCUUCACUUUUCGGUCUUCAGCGUUUUGGCCUUUUAAAAGGCCAAAACGACGUUGUUUAAUGACUGUCAAUAUAAAAAAAAAUUGACCGGGUGGACCGGGUCCCGGGUCGACCCGCCGGGUUGACCGGGUUUCACCGGGCCAAUUCCCAAACGAGUUUUUGCCUCCACCCAGACCGAUCCCAGGCCCGGGUCGGCCGGGUCCCGGGUCGACCCGCCGAGCCGGUCCGGGUUUUAAAACUCUGCUUGAAACUAUAUGUGUUCAACAAUGAGCUAAAUACUAAAUUAGUUCUAAUGUCAACAACAUAAAUCACAUUGUUAAGGGUGAGAAUUUUCAUAAGACUCAUCUUUAGUACGAACCUUCUAAUGCUAAAUGCCUUUGAGAUUGAUGAAUUCUCCAUGUUUAGUUGUAUACCAUCUAUUUUGUUAUAAGUGAAGAACAUCCUCCUUUUAGGCUAGAUAUGUCUUAUAACACCAAUAUCAACCCAUCACUACUUAUAGUUGUUGAUUAGAUUAAUUUCAGAGACAAUUGUAGAUAAGAUCAUCUACGACACUUUAGUUGUGAGGUUAUUUGCCUUAAUGACAUUGUCUUAUGCAAUCAUUCUUCUCUGAGAGUUGCCUUGUUGUUUCCUAUUUCUACCAUCCUUGACUUAGUAUCUAUUCUUAUUACAGUUGAAGCAUUUACCAUUUACUUUUCUUAGCAAUGCCCUUCCCCUUCAUCAUAAGUUCUUUUGGUUUCUAGUGUAGUUCUUCAUUACUUGUUCAAUAUUCAUUUAUGGGUUAUAAAGAAAGUGUUUGCUCUCUUUUUAGAAAACUUAUUGUUCUGUUUUAUCCUAAACCUUAGAAUAAAGUCAACCAUUCCUAUUUUUUUAUGUUUAUGCUGAAGGUACCUCUUUAAGUUUUUCUAAGAUGGUGGAAAUUUUUUAAUAAUUGUAGUCACCUAAAAGAAUUCAAUUAAAACCAUCCUUUCAGAAUGAAUGUCAUGCAAGAUGAGUUGAGAGUCUUGAACGUGGUUGAUUUUAGUUCUUGAAUCGACCAUCUUAAAAUCCAAAAAAUUACCGACUAUGAACUUUUUCACACUAGCAUAUUUGGUCGUAUGUUUUUUAUACAAAGCUUUCCAUAACGGCUUUGCACUUUUGAUUAAACUAUAUAAAUUAAACAAUGUAUUUCCUAAACUAUUCAAGAUGUAGUUCUUGCACUUGGAAUCAUUAUGAUUCUAUGUGUCCACAACUUCCAUAACAACAAGAUUAGAUUCAUCAUUUAACAACUUUAAUGCAUUGUUAUUCAAUAACUUUUUCAACUUCAAGGUGGUAAGAUAAAAAACAAUAUCUUUUACCACCACCUUUUAAAUUUCAGUCCAUUUAGCCUUUUAGGUUUCUCGCCAUGAACCAUAAAAGACGACGAUGAAAUCAUCCCUUUCAAAAUAGUACUUGCCCAAGCAGUAUUGAUUGAAGUAACCAUAAUGACUAGAAGGCAUACUUGAUAAUUUUCUAUAAUAAUAGUCAAAUAUAUAUCUAAUUAAAAAUUGGACUUAUCAUAUGCGAGAAUAAUUAACAAAUUGUUUUAGAAUAAUAACAAUAACAAUAACAAUAAUAAUAAAUCACGGUAAUUAAAUUUAACAAUUUACACAAUAUGGUUAAUGCCUUGUCAAUUCGCUUAGUUCAAUUAACAACAUAUAAAAGUUAAUUUACUAGUACAAUUAAUUAAUAAGAUUAUAAAAAACACAUAAUUCAUUCUAUUUAGAUUAACUUAGCAUGCAAAUAAAUUUAAAUUAACUUAGCAUAUAAUAAUAAAUCACGGUAAUUAAAUUUAACAAUUUACACAAUAUGGUUAAUGCCUUGUCAAUUCGCUUAGUUCAAUUAACAACAUAUAAAAGUUAAUUUACUAGUACAAUUAAUUAAUAAGAUUAUAAAAAACACAUAAUUCAGAUUAACUUAGCAUGCAAAUAAAUUUAAAUUAACUUAGCAUGCAAAUAAGAUCAUGGUCGAUCCAUCAUGAUUGAUUAUAAUCAAUCUUGAUCAAUCAUAAUCUUUUAAUCAUGAUUGAUUAUAAUUAAUCUAAAUUAAUAAUAUCCUAAUCAAUCAUGAUCGAUCUACUAGGUUAUGUUUAAAUUAAUAUUAACACUUUUUUUUUGAAUAAAAUCAUCAUGGAUAGACUUGCUGUAGAAUUACAUAUGAUCAAAGAAAAAUUAAGUUAUCGUCAAGGAUUCAACCAUUUAUCUUUAAGGUGUAAUUGCUUACAACUUCGUAUCAAAGGUCUCAAUGUAAGUUGCCUAGUUUAAAAACAAACUUAAAUUCUCUCUGCAAAAUAAAUAACCUAAAGCUCUAGAAUACACGGAAGACAAAAAAGAAAUUAGAAUAAAACAAAAAUAGUAGGAAUUAAAAGGGUGUCGAUAGCAUUAAAGAUUAAUUUGAUUGCUAUAAUCCGUUACUUCCCAACCUCCUCCGUCUCCUUUUUCUAUAGGAUUUAAUAGGAUGAUAUAAAAUAAAACUCGAUAGUUUUAGAAUUAGCUAAGAUCACUCAUUUCUAAUUAAAGGUUUUGUUGCUCUAUAAACCUAAUUUAAAUUUCUUAAAGUUUCAGCAUAUAAAUUUCUUCUAAAGUUUUUAGUCUUCCAAUGUGGGAUAUAAUAUGAUAGAUGUGAAUUUGAUCAACUAAGAGUUAUUUAAAAUGGCACUUGAAGUCGUGGCCUAGUGAGGGAAGGGCCUUGUUCCCUUCCUCUGCACCCGGGUUUGAUUCUCUCUGUGCCUGCCUGUCACCCCAGCGGUGCCUUACCUGUCCAUUGGGCUUGCAGGGUGUUCAGUGGGCCUGAGGAUUAGUCAUGGUGCGUGUAAGUUGGCCUGAACACCCCGGUUAUUAAAAAAAAAAGUUAUUUAAAAUGAUUUUCUCAUUAAUCCACUUAUGGCUUCAGAAAUAGUAAAAUUUUAUGUUAAAUUAAUUACUUUUGUUGGGGAACAUUUCCCAAUUGACUCUAAAUAUUUAUUUGAAUGGACCUGAUAUUUAUUACACUAAAAAAAUUGGCAUUUAACCAUGUUUAAUGACCAUUUUCCCAACAGCUACUGCAACAGUUCUUUCGUACAAUAAUCUCAUUACUAUCUAGCAAGAGUAUUGCCCCGUACCAAAGCUAAGGCUGGCCUAUAUAUCUAUAUGCUAUUUUUUGGCAAGCAGAUAGGGGCCUAGGAAUAUAGAUGUGGGGGACUUGCUGGCUUCACGGCAAGGUUGAGGCCGCUAGAAAUUGUAGGAGAAAAUUAACUGGAGCUAGCAUCAUCCCAUUAUAACUUAUACAAGUAUACCUUUCGUUUCUUGUGAAAAUAACGUGAAAACAGACAGGAGCCGGCAAUUUGUACCAUAGGAUCGAUCAUGUCCACAUAUUAGGUUAUGGUCAAUUGUAUUCCUGUUAAAGUAGUUACAUAAUUGAUUAGCAGAAUUGAUAAAAUAAUAGCUGAAAAUUUAAUUAUCAUGUUUAAAAAAUACCCAUGAUCUUUGAAUGAUAUACUACAAGCUAGCUAGCAAUUCCAUUUUUUCUUUUAUGGCCAAAGGGAUACACAUGCAGUCCUUGACGACCAUUGCCAAAGAAAAACGGUAGGAAUCAAUUAUGUCAAAGAAAAAUGGUAUAUAUUUUUUUAAUAUUGUGGUAACAAUUAUUUUUUAAAAUAUUUUUUUAUUUAAAAAUACAUUAAAAAUAUAUAUAUAUUAUUUUUUAAAAUUAAUUUUUGACAUCAGCACAUUAAAACGAUAUAAAAGAACCAAAAAACUAAUUUGAAGCAAAGAAAAAUAUAUAUUUUUAAAUUUUUUCUAAAAUCACUUUUAAAACACAAAAACAAAUGGGCUUGAAUGAUCGUUAGAAAGUACAUUAUAUAAAUAUGAGAUUACAUUCUCAAGUGUUCAUUAUGGAAGCCUAUUUGGUAUUGUCGCACGUAAUCACAUCUCCCAGAGAACUUCUUCCUUGACUUCAGCUACCAAGAAGAGAGUGCCAAGUGCAACACCAUCAGCAUAGCCACUAUGAUGAUGACUCAAACUUGGUUUCCUUAAAUAUUAGCCUUUUAGGUGAUUGCCAAAAUGGCUAAUCUAUAUCUUAAGUUGUAUUUUUGUAUAGAAAAAUUUGAGUUAUAUAUUUUUUUAGUUUGUUUAACUUAUUUAGUAAUGCAUCUAAAUAAGAUGAUAUUAUUGGAAUCUUAAAAGGUUUAUUGCAUAUAUUCUAUUUCAACCAACUGAUUUAGAUACUUUUACCUAACUGGACUUCCAAUAGCUUAUCAAUCAAGUACGACUCUUGACUCAAAUGGUGCUAGCUACUCAGGGGCGGAAUCAAGUUGUGCCACUAUAACAAGUCUCAACUCUAUCAAUAACAUCAACACGCCACUCUGAAAGCUUUAGGCAAAAUGACCUUCGAGAAUGCAACUCGCAUCAACAUCUAUCAAGUCCCUUAAGAGGCAGUUUUCACCGUUAUGCCGCCCCUACGCAAAACGGGUAUUCAAGGUAUGCUGCUUCUCAUUACCGUGGGAUGGAUGGUAGCUAUCAAUCUCGUCAUUCCACACAAGAAUACUUAAGUCCCCCGGAACCAAUUAGACAAAAGAUGGAGGGGAGAUCAACUUUUGAGCGCAUCAUUGGAGACUUAUAUAGCCCUCAUCAAGUACGAGGCACCACUCUAUCUAGGCAGGUUCUGAACACAUGAAUUUCUUGGGACUAUAUCUCUACAAAGAUGUGUCUGGAUAACCACAAUGGUCUUACAGAUUCAAGGGGACAUGUGCAAAAUAUGUGUAGUAGCUUGGAGUUUGUGAUUCAGGAGAGUGACACAAUGUGUUUGAUAUAGAAAAUUGGAACCAGGUUCUAUAGAGGGAUUUCACUACUAGAAAUUCGCCUAAAACCAAUGGAAUUACCGACAAAAUGAUUCUGUCGAUACUAUUCCGUUUGUAAUUCGGUAGGUAUUUACUGAAGGAAUAAUGUGAUCGGUAUAUACCAACAGAAUUACAGACGGAAUAUAUAGAAUUUAAAAAAGAGGCGGUUCGUUGACGUGGAAGUUUUUGCGGGCGAUUUCAUCGACGGAAUCACCGAGGGAUUCAAACCGGGAUCUCCGUAUAGUGAUGUGAUCAAAUCACCGUCAGAAUUGCCGACGGAACCACCGACAUCAUGAGUCCGUCGAUGAUUCCAUCGGCAAAAGUUAAUAUAUCACAACUCUGCCGACUGUCUCCUCCCCUAUUUCUCCUUCUUCUUCCCCAUCCCAACUCUCCCCUCCCAAACUACAAACAACCACCCCCCAAAAAAAUCCCUCUCUUCUCAACACAAGUUAUAGUUCUUUAAGUUCUGUGGUCACAAUAUCCAUUGUCUGAUUUAUUGUGGAUUUUAUCAUUUUUUGUAAGCAAAUCUAUCUUCUUUUUUUAAUUUUAACAUUUAAAUGUCAAUUUUAUUGUUUUUUAGUAUAUGUAUUUUAUUAGUGUAUGUACAUGUUUUAUUGUUAUUUCUCAAACAAACUUGUAGUAUGAAUGUAUAAUUUUAUACUCGUUAUGGUUUGUUUUAGAUUUUAUAAAAUUGUAUUUGUUUGUAAAUUGUUGAAACUUUGUUGAAUUACUGAAUUACAUGUGUUGUGGUGAAAUAAUUAAUAGCUUGUUUAACGGAUCCGUUUUAAUUUUUAUCAAUGCUAUUGUAGAGUUGUAAUUUCCGUAAAUUUAUAUGUAUAAAUUUGUAUGGACGUUGAUAAUUGAUAAUGAAUAUUUAUGAGAAAUUUUAAUUAGUUUGUUGGAUAAUCUCGAGGUAUAUGAAUAUUUUUGCAAAUUUAUUUUCCUAACAUAGUUAAUUAAUACAUGUUGUCAUCAUAAUUUUAUAGAGGUUCGAUAGAAGUCAUGGAUGAUCGUUCAUGGAUGUAUCGAGAUUCACCCCAAGGAUUGCGGAUGGAUUAUUGUAACGGGGUUCAGGGUUUUAUUAAUUUCACAACAUCUAUUCCCAGAAAUUUUACUAGAGGCGGUAUUAGGUGUCCAUACAUGUCAAAAUAAAAAGUAUCUAUAUCUAGAUGUUUUAAUGAUACAUCUUUUACAUAAAGGGUUUAUGGAGAAUUACCUGUGUUGAUAUGCACACGGAGAACUAUAUGUUUGUAAUAAGAGCAUGGGAGAAAGGGUGGUUGGGUCAACUUCUAGUGCUAGUAACGUGCAUGGAGUUGCAAAUGACAACAGUAAUCCUUACAGGAAUAUGGUUAUGGAUGCAAUGAGAAUGAAUCAAGGUAAUGUCAGUCAAUGUUCAAUUGUAGAAGAAGAACCUAAUGCAGAUGCAAUUAGGUUUUUUGAUCUGUUGAAGGAUUCUGACGAACCAUUAUGGAAUGGCUGCACAAACCACAGUAAAUUAUUGGUUGUAGCACAGGUGUUCACCAUCAAGUCAGAUCAUGGGUUGAGUGAGGCUAGUUAUGAUAAAAUUAUCGAAUGGGCGAGAAGCAUUUUACCUGAAGGGAACAAGCUGAAAGAGAACUUCUAUGUUGCAAAGUCCAUGAUGAAACCCCUCAGUUUAGGAGACUAGAAAAUUGACAUGUGCCCUAACUUUUGUAUGUUAUGCUACCUUGAAAUUACUGAGCUAACCAAGUGCAUGACAUGAGGGCAUUCCCGUUACAAACCCAGAACUGGCAGGGGAAAGACUCUCGUAACAUAUAAAAAACUUAGAUACUUCCCAAUCACACUUAGACUGCAAAGGUUAUUCAUGCCACCAAGGACUGCUGAGCACAUGACAUGGCACCAAUCACAUGAUGCGGUUGAUGGAGUGAUGGUGCAUCCUUUUAACGGUGAAGCAUGGAAACACUUUAACAAUGUGCAUCCUCACUUUUCAGUUGAAUCAAGAAACGUGCAUCUUAGGUUGUGUAUAGACAGAUUCAACCCUUUCGGGUCAUUUGCUGCUCCUUAUUCUUGUUGGCCAGUCAUACUCACGAUUUAUAACUUGCCACCGGGGAUGUGUAUGAGGACGGAGUUCAUGUUUUUAUCUACUGUCAUACCCGAUCCAAGCAACCCGGGUCGGAAUAUAGAUGUUUGUCUUCGACCGUUGAUUGAUGAGUUGAUUUGACUUAUGAUAUAUCGAGGAAACAAACUUUUAUUAUAAGGGUGGCUUUGAUGUGGAGUAUCAAUGAUUUUCCAGCUUAUGGAAUGGUUUCUGGUUGGAGCAUGCAUGAAACACUGGCAUGUCCAUACUGCAUGGAAAACAACAAGGCAUUCACGCUAACAAACAGAGGUAAAGCUUCUUUUUUUUACUGUCAUCGUCGUUUCUUGCCACCGAAUCACAGGUACAGAAAGAACAGAAAGGAUUUAUUUGUUGGCAGAAUUGAAAAGGAUGUUGCACCCCCGUGUCUUUCUGGUGAAGAAUUGCAUGAUGUUGUAUCAGAGUACGGUGACAUUGUGUUUGGUCUCCAAUCAGGUAGGUAGAAGUUUCCUGAUUUUGGUUUGACCCAUAAUUGGGUAAAGCGAAGUAUCUUUUGGGAGCUUCCUUAUUGGAAGACCAAUCUCCUCCGUCAUAACCUUGACGUCAUGCACAUAGAAAAGAAUGUGUUUGAGAACAUUUUUAACAUUGUUAUGGAUGUGAAGGGGAAGAAAAAGGACAACAUCAAGGCUAGAUUGAAUAUAGCUUUGUUCUGUAACUGUAAAAAUAUGGAGUUGGUUUGUGAUGGGUCAUGGGUCGCAAAACCAAGAGCAAGCUUCGUGUUAGAGAAAAAGGCACAACUACUAGUCUACAAAUGGCUUAAGAGUCUGUUUUUUCCCAAUGGAUAUGCCUUGAACAUAUCAAGAUUGGUUAAUAUGGAGGAAUAUAGAUUGUAUGGAAUGAAGAGUUAUGACUACCAUGUUUUUAUGCAAACACUCAUUCUAUUAGCUUAUCGUGUUUUGUUGCUAAAAGGGAUAUGGGAUGCACUCACGGAGAUUAGUCAUUUUUUUAGAGAUAUAUGCUUCAGCAAGUUGAAUGUUGAUCACAUUGAGAGGCUUGAAACAAAUAUCGUCGAGACACUAUGCAAACUUAAGAUGAUAUUUCCUCCAUUAUUUUUUGACUCAAUAGAGCAUCUCCCCAUACAUUUACCGUUUGAGGCAAAAGUUAGAGGACUGGUCCAGUAUAGAUUGAUGUAUCUAUUUGAACGAUUACAUAUUACAGUUGCAAUGUAGUUCAUAUAUAAAAAUAUUUUCUUUGUUUUUCUUAUUUGAAAAUAUAUGAUUAAUUCAAAGCAGGUACUUGUUCCAUCUUAAGAAAAAGGUUAAGAAUAAAGCGCAUGUUGAGGCUUCGAUAUGUGAGGCCUAUAUUGUUAAGGAGAUCUCAACAUUUAUCUCGUACUAUUUCGAACCUCAUUUGAGAACGAAAAUCAAUCGCGUUCCACAACAUGAUGAUGGUUGUCACAUGUCCCUGCACAAUAUUUGUUGGUGAUUUUCGUUCAUUUGCUUGAUUUGAGGAGUCGCCACCUAGUAUUUGAAUGAAGGUUACUAGGAAACCCGGAUGUACUGGUCUUUGUCAGAGAUUCACGAGUAAGGAACUGGUUAAAGCUAGGGAACGUAUUAGUACCCUUAGCGCACCCUACCUGAGGCAAGCUGCUUCGUGAUUUGAUGAGAUUUAAAAGGUUUUGAAAGUUGUCUUGCCAAUGACUUAUUAAAAAAAAAAAGUUAUCAUCGAUAAAGAGAUUCUUAUCUUAUCAAAUAAAGAAAACUUAAUUGCUCUAGCAUUAAUAAAAACAAAAUAAAUUUUUUUAUUUAAUAUUAAGAAUACAUCUUACGUAUAAGAUUGUAAUCUUCAAUAUAAAAAAAAAAACAAAAAAGAAUUUUUUUUAAAAAAAUAUAAACUAAAUUCAAUUCAAAUUAAAUCAUUUAAUUUUUUUUGUUUUUUUAAUUUUUUUUGUCUUUUUAGCUUUUAUCAUUCAAAAACAUACAUAAAAAAAGUACAAACACACACAUUAUUUUUUACUAUAUUUUGCUCACACCCAGAACUACAUAUUACAAAAUAAUCAAUAAAAACAAAACAAACUUUUCUAUUUAAUAUCAAGAAUACAUCUUACGUAUAAUAUUGUAAUCCCGAAUAUAAAAAAUAUAAACCAAAUUCAAUGCAAAUUAAAUCAUUUAAUUUUUUUUGUUUAUUUAAUUCUUUUUGUCUUUUUAGCUUUUAUCAUUCAAAAACAUACAUAAAAAAAGUACAAACACACAUAUCAUUUUUUACUAUAUUUUGCCCACACCCAGAACUACAUAUUACAAAAUAAUCAAUAAAAACAAAACAAACUUUUCUAUUUAAUAUCAAAAAUACAUCUUACGUAUAAGAUUGUAAUCCCGAAUAUAAAAAAUAUAAACCAAAUUCAAUGCAAAUUAAAUAAUUUAAUUUUUUUUCAUUUUUUUAAUUCUUUUUGUCUUUUUAGCUUUUAUCAUUCAAAAAAAUACAUAAAAAAAGUACAAACACACACAUCAUUUUUUACUAUAUUUUGCCCACACCUAGAACUACAUAUUACAAAAUAAUCAAUAAAAACAAAACAAACUUUUCUAUUUAAUAACAAGAAUACAUCUUACGUAUAAGAUUAUAAUCCCGAAUAUAAAAAAUAUAAACCAAAUUCAAUGCAAAUUAAAUCAUUUAAUUUUUUUUUUGUUUUUUAAUUCUUUUUGUCUUUUUAGCUUUUAUCAUUCAAAAACAUACAUAAAAAAAAGUACAAACACACACAUCAUUUUUUACUAUAUUUUUCCCACACCCAAAACUACAUAUUACAAAAUAAUCAACGUUCAAAAUAAUCUAAACAACACAUUAAACUAUUGAAAUUUACAAAAAGAGGCCCCAAAAUAAAAUCAGGAACAAUGCUGGGAGCCCCAAGUCACGACAACAAUGUUUUUGAAACCUCAAGGACAGUAGGAAACAUGGUGGCGUGUUUGCUCCAUGCGCCACUGGCGGUGCGUGGGUUCAUGCACCGCUGCAAGAAAAUCCAGGCAACGGGGGAGAUCUGUAAUGGCUUGCUCCCCUCUUCCCUUCCUCGUCUGCGGUGACCUGCACAAACAGCAAAAUUGCAAUAACUAGUUGAUUUUAGUUUUUUUCCCUUUUUAGAUCUGUUCUUGGUCUUCUUUCUUCCUCUCGGUUUGCUGUGAAGGGGAGCUGCUGCGGGGGAAGAAGGUAGACAGAUCUGGGUCUAUAUGUGCUGCUGUGUUCGGUCUGAUCUUCAGUUGGUGUCGGCCAUUACUAUUGGAGGCCAAAUGGAGGGAGAUCUAGUUUAAUCAGUGAUUUUGGUUGGAAGUGGAGCUGGAUCUGUGGGCCGGUCGAAGGAAAUGAAGAAGAGAGCGGAGCUGCUGCUGUGUUUGGUCGGCGAGAAUGGUCGCUCAUGAGAGAGUGUAUGGUCUCUGUAGUUUUGUCUUUGGGCUAAGGGAGAGGAGCGGUCGAGAGAAGAAAGGGAAGGGCUGCCUCUAUGUUGUGGGGAAGUGGAAGGCUGAAGAGCGGCUAAGAGAGUGAGGAAACGGGGACGGUGUUUGUCUGCAGGGAGGGUGAGGUCGUGGCUGAGGGGAGAAGAAAAAGGGAGCAGAGGUUGGAGGGGGGCGACGACUCCUUUUGCUUCAAAAGGGAGAACGACGGUUGCCUUAGAGUGGGAGAAGAAAGGGUUAGGUUGUUUAGGGUUUUUUGUGUUGCCCCCUAAUUUUGGUACAACAUUGUCCCCCCUCUUUAUGUGUUAGAGACUCAUAUUUAUAGGCAAAAUAUUGUUUGGUCCUUAAACAUGGUCCCUCAACUUCUUCUUUUUUUGAUUUUUCUUAUUUUUUUUUUGUAUUUUUUUAAAACGAGCAACAUCAACGUCGACUCAAUGAGGAAAAUCAAUGAUUUUAAAAAUGACGUGUGAAAAGUCGAACGCAUUCAAGACUUUUAAAAUUUAAAUUCUUUUGAGACGAUGCUAAAAAUGCUAAAACGAUGCAAAUGUAUUAAAAAAUAUAUUUUUUUGGAUUUUCAUUGUUUUUUGCUUUUUUUGGAUUUUUUGAAAUUUUAUAAAAAAGAUGGGUCAAAAAUUAGGUAGCAACAAUGGUGGUGAAGGGUCUUCUAGUGAGAACUUGUCAAUAUUCUCCAAUCCUGGGUGACCCACACCUAAAAAUGUUGUAAGAGGAAGAUAUUUGUCGGAAAUAAAGUUUAGACAAGCACACAAUUAUGUUCUAUUUAAUUGUGAUGAGCUGAGACCUUUUAUUCUGUAAGCAUAUGUACUACUAAUUAAACUUUGUUAAGAAUGUACUAUUUAUAUAUUGUAAUAUCAUAAACUCAUAUAACUUUGAACAACCUUGCAGGCAACAUCAACAAUAUUUAUUGUCCAAUAACUCACAGCUAACCGAAUCCCAAAUCUUUCAAUUACAAAAUGAACAAUUUGCCACGUGGUUCAGAACACAUGUAAGUACUAUCACAAACUCAUUAUCUCUUGCAAAGAUAGUACUGUAUGUCAUUACAAAAUUCUCGUUUACUGUUCAUUGUUGUACAUUAUAUACAAGGUUUAUAAAAUAGGAAUGAGUGCUGCUAUGUGAUUGUCUUCACUAAGCCUGGGCCCUAAAAGAAAAGUUAACUGCUACAAUGGGUAUUUUAUUAAUGGAUAUGUGUUCCAUAAAGAAGAAUACGGGCAUGGAAGAAAGACAUACAACAGUGGUGUUUGUGUUAAGGGAUCGACGUGUAGUGAGUUAAAAGUUGACUACUAUGGUAGAUUAGAAGAGGUUGUCAAACUGCAAUAUCAUAGUGAGCAUAAUAGAGUGUUUUUAUUCAAAUAUUAUUGGUAUGACACCACUGACAAAGGAUUCAGAGUGGAUCCUCACUAUGGUCUGGUCGAAAUCAACUCGAAAGCUAGACUUUGCAACGUAAACGAUGUCUUUGUUUUUGCAAAGCAAUGUCAACAAGUUUAUUACACAUACACCCCUUCCUUUAGAAAAGAUCAAUCAAGAGUUGAUUGGUUAUCCAUUUUAAAAACAAAACUCAUGGGUCAUGUCAAGGUUGUUCAGGAUGAGAACGAAGACACAAGUGUGCGAGAUGAAGUAUUUCAAGUUAGUGAGUUGGUUGAACCAUAUUGAGUUGGUCCUUCGAUUGACUUGGAAGAAAAUUCAAAUUUUCGUGUUUUCUUUGAGUCUUGUUGAUGUUGACACAUAGGAGUUGAAUGUGUUUUGAGCUCUAGCGAACAAGCAAAUAUCGUUGAAGAUGAUGAUGAUAUCCAUAUUGAAAAUUGUGAUGGAGCAGAUGACUAUUCAAUUGACAAUGAAGAAGAAACAAAUUCUGACUAACUAUUAGAAUCAAGGAAAGUAUAAAGCAUUUUUUUAUAAUGUAAUAUAUAUUAUGGAUGAUAUUUUAUAACACAAAAUAUUUAUUUUACAAGUGUUAACUGUUGUUAUUGUUUUGUGCAAUGUGCAUUUUGUAAUUUAAGUGUUUGCAGGAAGUGUUAUUCAAUGAAAGUGUUAUUUAUUUUACAAAGCAUAAUAUUUCAUGCACAGUGCUCGAUCACCAACAUCUAUACCGACGGAUUACACGUCCAUAGGCAUUUCACAGAAUAUUGCAAAAUAUUUACUGGAAAUGCCACUAUCACUGAUGUCCAUACCGACGGAUACAGUUCGUCGACAUUUCACAAAGAGUUGUAAAAUAUUUACUGGAAAUGCCACAAACAUCGAUGACUCUACAGACGGAUACAGUCCGUCAGCAUUUGUCAGCAGUUCAUAAUUACCGACAAAAUCACCGAUGAAAAAUGCGAAUUUCAAAGGGCGGGCAUUAAUGCAUCUCUAUCCUUGUGCAUUUGCCGACGGAAUUACCGAUGGACUGUGAAAAAUAUGAAGGGUAAUUAAAAAAUUCUGGUGUGAAAUUCAAAAUUUACCGACGGAAUUUCGAAACAUCACCGACGGAAUAAUUAAAAUUAAUAUUAUUUAAAUGUCCGUCGGUGAAUCCUUCGGGAAAAGUAUGUUAUAAAUCCAUGCGACCGCCCCUUCAAUUUAUUUUUCCUAUGCUUAGUUUCACACUCUCGUUCUUCUUUUUUUUCCUCUCAUUUGCUUCAAAUCUCUUGUUUUUUGCUUUUAAUCUCUAGUUAUAUCUUCAACAAAUUAAAAGGCAUGUAUUUCCAUUUAAUAUGCUUAAUGAUUUAUAUAUAUAUAUAUAUAUAUAUAUAUAUUAGUUAUUGUUAUUUUUGUUGUGUUUUUUGUUUUGGUGUAUUUUUAUAAUGUAGAUAAAGUCUUGAAAUAAACACAUUAUUAAGGUAAGCAUUUUUUAUUCCUAAAGUCUAUAGUUUUUUGCCCCCGUAAUUUGUUGAAUAUAUUUUAUUGUUUGUAUUGCCAUAAUAAUUGAAUACUUUGUUGAAUUUUAAUUGUUAUUGUUGAAUUUACCUUGUAAUUAGUAAUUGAAUAUAUAGGAAUAAAUUUUAAUUUUACUCUAUUAUUGCAUGAUAUGUGUUUAAUUAUUUCCAUUAAUUUUAAUUGUUAUUUGUAUAAAUGUUAGGUUAUAUAUAAGAUUUUUGAAUGGGGUCAAUUGGUUGUGGCUAUUGUCAAUAUUUGCAGGUGUGAAAACUUUGGGUAGUCUCUAGUAUAAGGGAGGUGCUGCCGAAUUUUUUUUUAACAAUCAAAUUUAAUUAUGUAAUUAUUCGUAUAAAAUUGUGUAGAUGCGUAAAACAAAAUCAACAGCUCGUCGCUCACAUAUGGUUGCAGCUAGUUCUUCUAGCAGUGAAGAUGACAUGUCCUUAGGUGCCGAUAGAAGAGUCACCCGUGCCUACUCGUGAUGCUGCCUCUUCCAGCACUGUUUCACAAUACAGAGACGGUGUGCCUUCACAGCGGAAUCCAUUCAUCCGCAAGUACGAGGCAUAUUGGAAGGACGACCUUUCAAUGUAAGUCUAUUUCGGUUUUAGUUUUUUUUUUAAUUAUAACAUAAUUUAUGAACAACUAAUCAAUAUUUCAUUGAUUUAAUUUAUUUUCAGGUUCACAAACAUUAAGGCCACCGAGUAAUAUCAUCGACGUUUAAAUCAUCGAUGAAGAUUCCAUUAUUUCAAUGGAGUCAGGUUUCCAGACAUCCUGAAUGGAGACCUUAUAUCGAUGCAUGGUUUGACAAAUUUGAGGUUGGUGUUAAUUUUUAAUUUCCAGCUUAUUUUUAAUAAAUUAUUAUUAUAAUUUUAAAUAAAUUAUUUAUACACAAGACAAAUUCGACUGGGACAACGUGCUUGACAAUGUUGUGAGGAGGGUGUGGGAAAAUCACGCGGCAACUAGAUAACAUAAAAAACAAUAUGAUAUUUUUUUAAAAAAAUUAUGUUCUAAAAUCUAAUUUGUUACCAUGGAAGUAGGUUGCGUGAUUUUUUGUAUGAUGCACAAAAAAAACACGAGAGAUAACGGUCUCCAAGGUUGGAACAACGUGGCGUGUUGGGGGGAUUUCAAACCGCUAUACUCCUGGGAGAUAUAUGGCAGCAAUAUAUUGAGCACGUGAUGUCUGAGCGGUUCACACGACGCUCACAGUCUGAUGCUGGCAACCGGAACUGAUAAAUUCAUGGUUAGGUGCCAACGCACAUCGGCGGCUCUGUUCCGUUUGCUGCACAUGCAAAACGGAUGGUAAGAUUAAUUUAAAUAAAAUAUAUCAUUAAUUAAUUUGUUGUUACUUAAUUAAUUUUUUUCCUUACAAGCUAUGUCUCUUGGACGUGAGCCGAGCCUAAUGAAGUUGUUUGUAGAGAUGCACGUGUGGAGUGAAGACCGCCAAAAGGGGGUGCAACAGUUCAUUGAUAACCGCACUCAACACUUCGUGGUAUGUUCGUUCAACUAUUUUAUUUUGUAAGUUAUUAUUUUUAUUGAAUUGAAUAUGAUGAUUUCUUUUUUUAUUUUCAGGAGACCUAUGAUAGAUAUGGGGACGACCCUUCGACCCAUCCGGAUUUCGAUCUGGAUUUGUGGAUAGAGGUAGGAUCGUCCGGUGGACCUGAUAAAAAUCGGGUGUAUAGGCUCUCCAACACUACAGCUGAUAACUUGCGGGCGGCCCGUAGUGUCUCAACCAUUGGGAACUCUCAAUCAGUAUCGAGCACCCAAUUUAAGGAGUUCGUGGCUUUGCAGCAACACACAACUCAUCUCAUCGAAAAAUACAAGCAACUAUCGGCGAAUAAUGAACAAAGCACGGUUCAUGUCAUCGAAAAAUACGAGCAACUCUCGGCGAAUUAUGAGCAACUCCGCCAAAUGGUCAUGAACAUUACAUCACAGAAGGAUGAUACAUGUGCGCUCCCUUUUUGGUUGUAUGGUCCCAGGAACAACCAGUCUCCUCCUCCUCCUCAUCCUCCUCUAGUUCCGCCAUUGUUUUCGUUUAAUAUUUUUUUGGAAACACAUUAAAUUUGUAAUGAAUUUUAUUUAACUUUAUUUAACUUUAUUUUUUAUGUUUAAUAAAGUUUUAUUUGCAUAAUUGGUUUUUUUACUAUUAAUUUAUAUAAUUUUAUAUUAUUUAUUCUAAAUAAUUUAAAAAUAAAUCUUAAAAAACCCCACCGAUGGAUUUACUGACGGUUUUUCUCCGUUGGGCUUUCACCGAGAGUUGAAAAAUAUUUACUAAAAAUGUCACAAUCACCGACGCCUUCGUAGACGGAUAUAGCCCAUCGGCAUUUUGCUGAGAGUUGAGAAAUAUUUACUGGAUAUGCCACUAUCACCGACAGAAUUUAUCCGUCAGUAUAUUUCUAGCAGGAAAAUUUUUUUUGGCGUGCAUUUUCUGUCUGUAAAACCAUCGGUAAGUUUUUUUUUUCUCCGACAUACUUAGCGACGGAAUGGGGUAUUAUUGACGAAAGAUAUACCGAUGGAUACUUCUCGUCGGUGAUUUAGUCGGUAAAAAAAUUACCGACGAAGUUUGAAUCUCACACCAAUGGAUUCAGUCCAUCGGGAAAACUGUGAAAUCUCAUAGUGUUUAGAGAUCUCUAUGCUAAGCUAGUGUCAUGCUUCAACACAUGUAUACUUAUAAAACGGAGUUCCAUGAGACUCUUUGGAAUUACCUAGUCAGAUGGCAAAUCCACAAGGGCAUACUUGGAGAGAUAUUAAGAGAUGAUCAAGGUAGAAGAGUUAUUUGAGCUAGUGGCCUACAUUAGUGGAGUGAGAGAAUGCCCUCUAUAAAGAGACCUGUAUGCUUUACCCGACAUGAGUUUGCUUAGGGUUACACAAGUCUUGGAGAAACAUAUAUGAGUGGAAGAGGCAAGUGUGUUGCGAUAUGGGCCUUCCCGUUUCUAUAAGGAUAAUAGAUUUAAAGGACCUUACGUGGUAAUGUUGAGAAAAACUAUCGGCAAAUGAUGAAUGUAUGUGGACUUUACGAAUUUGAACAAGGACUGCCCAAAGAAUAACUUUCCUCUUCCUAAAACUAAGAGAUUGGUGGAUUCUAUAACAGGUUUCGAAUUCCCCAGUUAUGACCAAGAAAAUUAUGGAGAAGAAUUCCCCAGUUAUCUUAAUGCUAACUCUAAGUGUCACCAAAUUUCUAUACACCAAGACGAUGAAGAGAAGACAUUGUUUCUCAUGGAAAAUGGAACAUUUUGCUACAGGGCCUUGCCCUUCGGACUAAAGAAUACGGGAGUCACCUACUAAAGAAUGGUGAAAAAAGUCAUCAAGCAUCAGUUGAGGAGGAUAAUAAAGGGUUUAGUAGAUGAUAUGCUAGUAAACAGCAUGAGAGAAUGACAUUUGAGCAACACCUUAUUAACCUAGAAGAAAUUUUAUUUUGUCCUGGGUCAAUGUCAAAUGAAGCUCAACCCCUCAAAGUCUGUGUUUUCCAUUACGGGAGGGAAGUUCAUUGGGCUUCUAGUAAGCAGCAAGAGGAUAAAGCCUUAUCUCAAGAAAAUCCAAGCCAUACUGGGCAUGACUCCUCCGUGGUCAAUGAAGGAGUUUCAAAGCCUUACAUGACAAUUAGUUUCCUUUAAUUGAUUUGUUUCUCAUAUUGGAGAGCAUAGUAUAACGUUCUUCAAAACUUUGAAAAAUAUUUUCAACUUUGAAUGGACAUCCAAGUGUUAAAAAGCCUUCGAAGGAGUAAAAAACAACCUCUCAUCUCCCAUAGUUUUGUCUUAACCAAGAGAGUAUGAGGACCUUUUCCUCUAUUUGGUUGUUAGUGUCGUGCUAGUGAGAGAGGAGAAUGAAAUUCAAUGCCUUGUCUAUUAUUUUAGUAAGACACUUUAAGAUGAUGAGAUAAUAUACUUGAAAGUAGAGAAAAUAGCUCUUGCUUUGGUAACUGCCACCAAAAAAAUUAAGGCUUUACUUCUAAGCUCAUUAAAUCAUUGUCUUGACAGAUCAACCCUUCCGAUAGAUUCUUCACAAGCCUGACAUGUUAGGAUGCCUGGUGAGAUGGGCCAUUGAAUUAGGAGAGUUUGGUCUCUAAUAAUAGUCUAGACCAACUAUCAAAUGACAAGCUUUAGCAUACUUUGUUGCUGAAUGUUCGUUUAAACAGCCUAUAUUUCACAAACCCCAAUCUCCAUCAAAUUUUGAAAUACCAUAUGGUUAACCUCCAUAUGGUCGUUAUACGUGGAUGGGUCCUUUAAUGUUGAGGGUAGUGGAGCUCGGGUAGUGCUCACAAAUCCAGAGGGACAUGAUUAUACCUAUGAGGUUCGUUUCGAAUUCUCAGCUACCAAUAAUGUAGUGGAAUAUGAAGCUUUUUCGGCAAGAUUGGGACUUGUGGAGGCCUUGUAUGCUUAUCCACUUCAGGUUUAUAGAGACUUUCAGCUGAUUAUAGGCCAAUGUCAAAAGUUACAUAAGGCUAGGGAGUCUACCAUGCUAAAGUAUCUCAAGAAAUUUAAAAAAUAUCUCUCCAAAAAAGAUGAAGGCAAAGAGAUCACAAUCACCCACAUACCCAGAGAAGCCAAUCAUUAUGUAGAUUUUUUAUCUAGACUCGCAAGUUAUAACUUAGCAGAACUCCAUUCAGACAUAUGUGAGUGGAGAAGUCUUCGUAAUCGCCCUAGUUACCCUUGGUAAGGAUUGAAGAACUCUUAUUAGACGUUAUUUGCUCACUAAAGAAGUACCUUUUGAUAAAAUAGAGGCCAUCCACUUGACGGGGCAAGGUGUUAGAGAAUUUUUUUUUUAGGCUAAUUAACUGUUGAAAUCUCAUAAUAUCAAAGCUAAUCAAUAGUCUAUAUAAUUUUAGUUUUAGGUUAAGAUUUAAAUAUUUUUUUUUAAUUAGCAAUAGAUAAUUGGUUGCAAAUUUUAUAUUGUCUUCAUCAAUGAAUUUUAUAUUGCUAAGUCUGUCAUAUAUAUAUAUAUAUAUAUAUAUAUAUAUAUAUAUAUAUAUAUAUAUAUAUAAUCCGUUGCAAAUUUAUUACUAAAUUAGCAACAGAAUUAUCUGUUUCUAGAAUCUAAUGUUAUUAGCCCCAUUUUUUUUUUAGUAGUGAUCAUUAAUAUUUCUGAGAAGACUAGGCUGUGGGAGUUUGAGUUGAUUGUCAGAAAUCCAAAACGUCAUCCAGAGCGAUUUGGUGAACGUGCAAUGAACAUUUAUUGUACUGUCCCAAACUUAUUAAAGGUUGAUCGUAGAGUUUGAUAAGACACCCAACUCGAAAACCUUUCAAAAUAAAUCUUCAACGCUGUCGUUUGAUCUCCAGAAUUUUGUCUCUGUCCUCUGGCUGAAUUUUGUGGUAUUGAAUGAAUGACAGGGUCGGUGGUAUGAUGGUUUAUUUGGGAAUGAUUUAGGUGAAUUUGGUGAGGUUUUUGCUGGGUUUGGAUUAGGGAUGAAGUUUGAAGUGUUUGGUUUUUUGGUGCCAUAGUAUUUUCUUCCUUUGAAUACCUCAUCCUCGAUUAACCUAAUCCCUUGAUUAUUAGUUUUAUUUUAUUUUAAUCAUUAUAAUUUCUAUUUUCAAAAAAACACUAAUUAAACAUUUUCUGAGGCAAGAUUGUCAAAAAUGUUUUUUUGACACGACAUGAAAUAUACAAUAUAAACUCGAAUCGUAAAAUCGCAAGAAAAAUAUUUUAACUAAUUAUAUAUUGACAAUUUCAGUCAAGUAGUAAAUAAUAAUAUAACACAAUUAAAAUAAAAGUGAAAUAAACAAUAUAAAUGUUCAAACACCUUAAAAUACAUAAUUCAAAUAAAAAUUCAUACAUGGUUUAAAUAACUUAAAAAUACGAAAAGAAAAAAAAUAAGAUUGAACAACUAUGUUUUAUUGAUAGAGUUUCAGAACAUUUUCUAAAUGACAGGUCUUGAAACACACUGCAGACAACUAGUGAGAUAAUACAUUAACAUUCAAAGGUAUAUCACCAAUUUUUUUAAAAAAAUUAACAGAGACCAAUACAGUGAACCCGUGACAACGAGAACAAAAAUGUACAAAAUAACAUCAAUUUAAUCUCAUGCCACCUCACCUUCCACCUUUUUUAUGUUAGUAACAAUUCCUAGAAAUAAUGUCCAAAUAUCCCACCAUUAGGGGUGAUCAUUUUCGGUUCGGUUCGGUUCGGUUUUUAUCAAAAAAAGUAACCAAACCGAAAUUUUUUUUUUUGAAAAAAAAACCGAAACCGAACCGAAACCGGGUCAAACCGACCGGUUUCGGUUCGGUUCGGUUCGGUUUUUUAGGGCAAAAACCGGUUCAAACCGGUUUGGCUCGGUUUUUCCAGUUUUGGCUCGGUUUUCUCGGUUUUGGCUCGGUUUUUUUCGGUUUGGCUCGGUUUUUUUGGUUUGGCUCGGUUUUUCCGGUUUGGCUCGGUUUUUUUCCGGUUUUUUGUCGGUUUCGGUUCGGUUCGGCUCGGUUUUUUUCUUAUAAAACCGAAACCGAACCGAACCGGCCGGUUUUUUCAAAAAUUUAAUCGGUUUAAUCGGUUUUUUUUUUCGGUUCGGUUUUUUCAGUUAUUUUUUUCCGGUUUUCUCGGUUUAAUCGGUUUUCCGGUUUUUUUGCUCACCCCUAAAGCAAGACAUGUAUUUCAAGUUCUCUCUGAGUCUUUAUCGUCUCUUUUUAUAGUUAACAAAUGGUUAGUUUAAAACAUAGUAUUUCUCUCUAUAUAAGUAUUCCUAUAUCUUAUUUUACUCCUUUGAUUCCUCACCAUCUACCUCUGUCUUCCCAUGGUUUCGAUCCUCCGAUCAUGCCUUCCUGGCCUAAAAUACAAUAUAAGGCUUUCCCAUACCCAAGAUCCUCUAAUGCUGGUGUUAAUCUGCUAAGAUUGAAAAUUUGAGAUUUAGGCAAUGAGGAAAGGGGAGACUAGGGAGUGGAGACUAUGUAGUGGAGUGUCAGGGGACUUGGAUAGGGAGACAGUAAAUUUUUUAACUUUUGCAGGUUAAAACUCGAAAUCGGUUAAACUCGGUCAAACUCGUAAAAUCGGUCCGAUUUUACCGAUUUUAACUAAGUUUGACCGAUUUUGACCUAGUUUGAUCGAUUUCGAGUUUUAACCUGAUUUGACACGUUAUAUACAUGUUGACUCGUAAAAUCAUAAAAUUUUAAGAGUUAACUCGCGAUUUUAACAACCUUGAUCUAAGGCUUAUCAUCAUUCCCAUAUCAGUUCUCUUGGGUGGAUCAUUUUCUUUCUUCUUUUUUCACUUAGAAUGAAAUUUGAUCCAUGGACAUUGCUUCUGCUUGGUUGAUAAUAUCAAAUCAUCCUCGGCAAUUAUAUGCUAAGCCUCUUCGUCCAUUUGUUUGUUUCGCAAUCAAACUAGCAAUCCAACGGGGGUAUUUCUAAGCUGAUAAGGCUGUUAAAAACCUUAACAAUCCAAUGCUAAGCCUCUAUUGAUUUGAAAUAAUUUUGCUUCCUUGGAAUAUGAUGAAGAUAUACAAUUACUGAAGACUGCGGAUCAUAUGAAAAUAAACCCAGGUUUAAAUAUGGUGAAGACAAUUCAAACCAAUAAUAAAUACAAAAGAAGUCUGUCUAUUCCAAAAGUUCUUAAGAUGGGAAAGAGUAGAAAAGCAGAAACCAUUGUCUACUAGGGGGUGUGAGCUUUUCACCCACUAGUGCUCCAAGACACAAACAAAAUAACAAGUGGAGGAGAAGUACGGAGAGGUCUCACAAGCCUAAAAAAACCCUAACAACUAAGUUAAGAAGAAGGGGAAAAGUAGUAGAUCAACCUCGGAAUAUUACAAGGGGUCUGGUCUAUAUUUGCCCUUUACUUUGUUUGGCGAAGUCAAUUCCCGAACCUCUAACAUCUUUUCCCACUCAUGGUAUGCUUUGGUUCUUAAUUAUUCUUGCCCAAAACGAAAGCCAUGAGGCAAAAAAGAAUUAUGUGAGGUGCGUUCUUGACUUCUCCCAUUCUUCUAUCACCCAAAAUCGAAACCAACUUUGAGUUUUUUCACAAAAUUUCCCUCGUUUUUCCUUCUCUGGUAAUGAACUGCAAAACAAAAUAUAAAAUAAAAUAAAUGAAUAUAUAUAAUAGGAAAUACAUUUAAAGAAUAAUUUUUUUUUAAAAAAACUAGCAUUAUAUAUGUCAAUAUAUAUAGAGAAUUGACAAGGCUGUUAAAAACCUUCGAAAACAAAUAGUCUUUCCAAGCUUGCUAUGUGUUUGAAGGUGUAGAAGGUUGGGUUUCGAUAGCUGUAACACUUGAAAAGCAAGUCAUUUGAAAGGGUUGGCUUGAACUUAAAUUUAUUAGAUGAUAGUCUUGUGAGGCUGUGUAUAUAAAGUUUGAGUAAAAGGAAAAAUAUGAAGUUUUGUUUCUCUAAAAGAAGAUGAUUUACCUUGUUAAAGGCGAUCUAUUUAUAUAAUCUUAAGCCGUGCAUUUCCAUAUCAAAGUAAGAUGACUAAUGUGCUUGGCACAAACAAAUUUAGGCUACUUGGGAACAAAAACCACUUAUUUUGAAUACCACAAAAUUCAUUCAGAUUUGCAUGAAUAUUAAAGAGAUGCAUGCACAACAGCGAAAGUCCACUUACCUAUAAAUUAACCUUCAAAGAUCAUGCAGAUUCGCAUGAUAAGGAAGCCUUAAUCCUCUCCACAGUGCAUGCAAUCAAGUUGUUAACAGUUGCAACUGAGCCAAGAGACAGUUUUGCUGUAGGAACUGAAUCAACCAGAAUCUGGAACGCGACAGUUAGAAGAGAUCCUCCUGUAGACCCAGAUUCAUCCAUGCCUACUCCAUGCGCUGCGGUUCCAUCAGGAAAAAUAGCAAACCCUGAUGGAAGAAGUGCCACAUAAUCUGGAUCCCCGCCGUUAAGCACCACGUUCAUUGCAACAAUAUCAACAGGAGCAUAGAUUACGAAAGAGGCCGUUUGAUCAGUGCAACUCUCUUGCAAAAUCAGCAUGUUGCUCUGGCUCGAAUUCGCGCUCUAAAAUUAUGAUGUGUUAGAUCAGCUAAAAUAUCGAUAGCACAAUAGCCUUACGAUCAUAGAGAACUUAACUUCAUUAACAGGUACAAAGGAUUUCCUUAUGCUACUUACAUUAACUCGGAUUAGAGAUACACAGUUGCCUGUAUCCCGGCCAUUAGCAAUGUGUGCCAUUUCUUGGACAACCCCACCAUUUGAUAGAAUAUCCCACUGUGUAAAGCAGCCAAGUCUUAGAAUGAGAUUCAAUCAUUCAGUAUAUUUAAAAUUCUAAUGAGAUUCUAAAGGAAGCUUUUGUCUUCAUUGGCUGUGUGCUUGUUAUGCAUAAAUGGGAUGCAAUAAAAGUUAGUCAAAAAGUUCUAAUUGUUAUAUAUACCUCAUUACGGGUGUUCUCAUCACGUAGAAAAUCAAAAACCCUCUUUGGUGGAACUGGAAGCCAGAAGGAAGUUGCUGCACUAAGCACAAUCCCAGGAGGCCUCCCUGGAUCAUCUACACUCUUCCUUGUCAUGACCCUGACAUCAUCAGCUCCAGUCCCAGAUAGUGUAGUCCAUGUGUGGGCGGUAGAGGCGCUCACGCCAGCACAGAAGCUUAUCACCAUUCUCUCUGCCAGCUUCAUCAUACUCUUUCUUCCUUCUUGAUUAGUAAUAACUGUGAAUAAACAAAUGAGGCAAGUCGAAGGUCAAACAUAUCAAUUAGUACAAUAGUUAUAUAAUAUAUAUUACCACCAGCAUCACCAGCAGGAAUGUUUGUUGCCAUGGCACUGGCAAGGCGCUCGCAUUGCCGGUUUAGGGUUGCGACCCAACGUUUUGCCCCGAAUGCAUGUCCUGAGCUAACUAGAUGCUUGUAUAGAUUAUGAACACCUCUAUCAUCCACUUCUACAUGUUCAACCCAUGUAACCUAAGGUAGGGAGAAAUUCGAUUACAAAGGUAGCAAUAACUAAGAAUUGCUUUUCUUUUUGUAUAGAAAUGGUGCAGCUUAAAUAAACUAGAGAAUAACAAUACACAUUGAUAAGGAAGUAAAUAUUCACCUUCGAGUAACCAUUGGGCAUUUCUUGAAUUAAACAUCCAGAUGGCCUUCUUCGACAUCUUGCUGCUGGACCAGGGCGUAUACUGUCCAAUGAAACAUCAACCACAGCCCAAGUCCCAUCAGCAUGUUGUUUACAGUACCUGACAUAGUAACUUUCACGAGUAGGAACAAGUGGAGUUGGAAGUUGAAAUUCAGCUGUCAUCUGGAAACAAAUGAGAAUCAGUUCAAUACAUUUAGAGAGGAUGAUAUCAUAAAUCAUCUUGACAUAUUUGGUUUCAUGAUUCGGUAAUCCACACCUAUGAUUUCAGGGAUAUGUAAAAGAUAUAGAACAGACUAUAUAUUAAAUCAUGUCUCGGGUUAUGGAUGAUCAAAUUAGCAAAUGUAUUGCUAAUUGGAUGAUAAUCAAGGAAUAUUUGUAUUACCACUUGCAAGGCUCCAUUGUAGUUCCCUGCAACUCCUGUAGAUAGCACUUCUAAAGUCAAAGCUCUUGAGACAAUGCCAGAAAACAAUGUAGACCACUGAUUCUGAAAGCCAAAACAUAAUCACAAAUCAAUAUUGGAUCGAUAUGCAUUUAUGUACAUGCUUAAAUAUACUUGAUUUGCUUUGAAAGAUACUAAAAGGAAACUUACCACAUCCAUCAGAUACUCGACAAGGUUGAUGUGGUUCAUGAUAACAACAGCAGACUCUCUUGAAGCCUCACAUUUAAAACCAGUAGGUUUAGGACCAAUACCAUGAGGGAAUAUCCUUAUGUAUUCAUCUUCAUUCAACACUGCAUCAAUUCCAUCAAGGCUGUUCAUCCAUAAAGGUUCAUCCAUUUGAGCCAUUCUAAUUAGUUCCUCCAUGGCUGCCACUGCAAGCUCAAUUAUCAUGGGCUUAUCAGCCUCAGUAGGUGCACUAAUAGACCUUAGUAGGUCUCCAGCUUCAUAAAUAUCCCCUCCUAAGCCUGGUUGUCCACCAAAAUUCCCAACACCAAGGUCAACUGGACGUGGAGGCAUUGGAGGCGAUAGAACAGGAUAGUUCACCACAGGCUUGCCAACAUACCUAGCAGCAAUUGCUGAAAUACGGUCAAUCUGCGAAAAAAAGAGGAGAAACGAAAUAACUUUUGAAGAUAUCAGGCAUUGAACGUUAUAGAUCCACCAAAAAAAAUCAAUCUAAUAACUUCACCUCUUCUCUCAAUCUAGUAUUUUCAAGUCUCAAAUGAUGUUCAUCAAAGGACAUCUCUCCUAUGGCAGUAGGCCCUCCGCAAUUAGGACACGAGGCAUUGCUAAGAGCUUCCCUGUACCGCAUGUUGUCAGCCCUAAGCUUUUCAUUCUCAUUUCGAAGCUGUGUGUUUUCAUGGCGCUCAUGCUGGGUCUGAAACGAGAAAGAAUUUAGCUAAACAUCUCGGAGGUUUAAGAGAAAUUCUUAUAACCCCCCCUAAAGAAAACUUUCCAAGAGAAGAAGCCAAGAUAUUGUAACCGCCCCUUGACGUGCAUAACAUAGAAAACAGAAGGCAAAUAUGGUAUUUAUUACAUGGUCUAAAUUAGUAAUGUCUAGGCUAAGGUUAUGCGCACACGUUAUACCUUCAUUUGGGUACGCUUAUUUUGGAACCAAAACUUGACUUGCAAAGGCUCUAACCCUAAUUCUCGGCUUAACUCCUUCCUUUGCUUGUCAUCUGGGUGUGGACACUCUUUGAAGAAACUAAUAAGACCAAUAAUGAAAAGGCAUUAAUCGUAAGUUACAUGUGUCAACAUAUUUAAGGCAAUAUAGAAUAUCAAUAGCAGUGUAUAAUUUAAUUAAGGCAGAGCUUACGCUUCCAUUUCUUGGAUCUGAUGCUGGGUAUGGCGAUGGUAGCGCUUCUUUUUGGGGCGUGGGUCUUGAUCAUCACCUGAAGCGCCUUCUUGAUUCUCACUGCCUGAUUUUGUGUUGGUACUAUCAAAUUCCUCAUCUCUAAUUCGAGUCAUGUCGCCUUCAGAUGUGUUGUGUGUCAUGUCUAGAUGAUGAAACUCGUGACCUUCCAUCAUGUUUGGCUGGAACAUUAUCUACAGAUCUUUAAGAUUCCUCAAGCUUUAUUGUUUUUUAAUCUAACAGCAGAGCGGAAAUUUCCACUAAAAAAGAAAGGUGAUUAAAAUGUUCAUGCCAACAUAUAUCUAUAUGAAGUAGUGCAAAAGGUACUUUUAUAAUGUGCAAAAGCCUAGGACGUAUGGGAAAGCAACGUUUGAAAAAUUGUUCUUGGAAUGUAGAAAAAUACUAGAUCUUGGAUAGGACAAAAGGCCCAUGUUAAAAUACUAGAUUCUCAAAACCUUCCAUCUCCCUCUGAUUGUGUGAUGAGUAAAGCAAAACCCUUUACGCGUUUUGCAACUAUCGAGGAGGAUUUUGCUUAAAGAAAACAAAUUAGUCCGCCUAAAAGCCAAAUAACAAACAUAAUACAACUUUUGACUCCUGAACAGUAGCAGAAGAAGAAGAGAUCUGAUGUGAAAAAAAAUGUUAAGGGGUAAGGAAAUCAAUAUGGGGUCGUUAAAAAAUGAAAAAUCCUGUACAUUAACCAAACAAAUAUCCAAGAAAACUGGAUCAUAAAGCUUAAAAAGCACAAACAGUGGAGAAGAAAGUCAUGGAAAAGAACACAAGUGCAGACCUGACCAAGAGCAAGUCCGGAGGAUGAUCCAAACCCACCAACAUUACCAUUAACCCCGAUCAUUGAUGGCAUGUUUCUUGCCGGAAUCAUUACUCCGGCUGGCAUAUUUCACAAGCCACGAACCCUAAGAAACGUUGUAUAUAGGAAUAUAUAUUUGUGUGUCUGUGCCUUAUAGGUAGCUUAACUCACUCUCCUUUUGACUCUACUGUUAUAUAUGGUCUUAGAUCAUAGAGAGUGGGUUUCUCACGGAUUUUCUAGAGAGUAUAGAAAACAGGCAGGCUGACUAUCGUUCUCUUUUUCCCCGUAGGAGAAUUGGUUUCUCCCUUUCUACGCCUAUCUGGUUCUUACGUACGUACGAAAGAGACAGAGAAUAUAUAAAGAAGGUCGAGUUGACGAUUUUUACAGGUAAUAUCUGACUAAACCCCAAAAUCAAAUAUAAAANNNNNNNNNNNNNNNNNNNNNNNNNNNNNNNNNNNNNNNNNNNNNNNNNNNNNNNNNNNNNNNNNNNNNNNNNNNNNNNNNNNNNNNNNNNNNNNNNNNNGUAGUGGAAAUAUAGAGAAGACUAUGAGACUCUCUUGAAAAAACCUACUCAUACAAGAAAUUUACUUGCCAAGAAAUAAAAACAAAAGAAAACAGUCUUGACUGAAAGGAUUUUAUUUUUCUUUGUUUUGGAUCUGGUUUUGAGGUUACCUUGUGGAAAAGAAAGCAGUAUCUGGGUCUGCUAGUGGUUUCUCUGGAGAUUUUGGAAAUAAUUUUUAUGGUAAGAAGUUGGUGAGUGGAUAUGGAGAUAGAGUAGUCAAGGGAAGAAAAUCAAGAGUCAAGAAAGAAUGGGAAAAAAAACAAAACUAGAGAGCAUGAAGAAGAUGGAGAAUCAAAGUAACUUAGGAAGAGAAACAAGGCAAUGGAAGUGAAGGAGAAAGAGAAAACUGUGGCAGCAAGGAGUUAUUGCAGAGCGUAUUGAGAGGGUGCAAUAGCAUUAAAUGGUGGAGAGGUGUAAUUGCUAUGGAAAGAGAAAUAGUUCAUUUCGCUAAUUUAAUUUUCUU
rnacentral:lncRNA from 1 species